rnacentral:rRNA from 1 species
UACGUAGGGUGCGAGCGUUGUCCGGAAUUAUUGGGCGUAAAGGGCGCGUAGGCGGUUUGUUAAGUCGGCUGUGAAAACCCAGGGCUUAACCCUGGGCUGGCUUCCGAUACGGGCAGACUAGAGGUAUGCAGGGGAGAACGGAAUUCCUGGUGUAGCGGUGAAAUGCGCAGAUAUCAGGAGGAACACCGGUGGCGAAGGCGGUUCUCUGGGCAUUACCUGACGCUGAGGAGCGAAAGUGUGGGGAGCGAACAGG